rnacentral:rRNA from 1 species
GAUGAACGCUGGCGGCGUGCCUAACACAUGCAAGUCGAGCGAAGCGCUUAAGUUGGAUUUCUUCGGAAUGACAAUUUUUGUGACUGAGCGGCGGACGGGUGAGUAACGCGUGGGUAACCUGCCUCAUACAGGGGGAUAACAGUUAGAAAUGACUGCUAAUACCGCAUAAGACCCCAGCUUCGCAUGAAGCGGUGGUAAAAACUCCGGUGGUAUGAGAUGGACCCGCGUCUGAUUAGCUAGUUGGUAAGGUAACGGCUUACCAAGGCGACGAUCAGUAGCCGACCUGAGAGGGUGACCGGCCACAUUGGGACUGAGACACGGCCCAGACUCCUACGGGAGGCAGCAGUGGGGAAUAUUGCACAAUGGGGGAAACCCUGAUGCAGCGACGCCGCGUGAAGGAUGAAGUAUUUCGGUAUGUAAACUUCUAUCAGCAGGGAAGAAAGUGACGG